AGGAUAAUAGUUUAUAUAAAACAUUUAAUUUGCAUUUAAAAAAACUAAAUUUUAUAGUUAUCUUA
rnacentral:tRNA from 1 species